AGACUCGGCGCCCGCGGCGAGCGGGAAGGAGGCGUGUGCCUGCGGCGCGGCCCCGAGGCGUGUGCGCGGCCAUGUGCGCUUAGCGCAGCGCGCUCUUACCUCAGUACCCCGGCCGCGACCCUCCGAGCCCCUGGAGCCCGGGUAACCAGGCCGCCGGCGCCGGCUCGCGGGGACCCGCCACCCUGGAAGCCCCGCGCACACAGCGCAUUCCUGGCGAGUCGGAGGUAAAGUGAACAGAGUUAUCUGUGACAUUCCAUCAGGCACCUAUGUAACGAAAUCAUACCGUAAUAACUCACCAUGGCGUAUGGAGUGCCAAGAAAGAACACAGUGAAAACCAUUUUGCGGGGCAGUUGUUAUAAUGUGGUCUCACACUGUCACGCAGGCUGGAAUGUUGUGCACCUCCUGGGCUUGAGUGAUCCUCCCAUCUCAGCCUCCUGAGUAGCUGGGACCACAGGCACACACCACUGUGCCCGGAACCUUGGGAUAUUGCAUUGCUUGCAAAGACCUGGUCCACAAACCUAGCCAAUAUCAAGUUGCCUUUCUUGGAAGAAAUUUCAUUUGGUGGUUCUGUGCAGCUCACAAAAU
rnacentral:lncRNA from 10 species